GAUAAACGCUGGCGGCGCACAUAAGACAUGCAAGUCGAACGGACUUAAUCGAUUCUUUUAGAUUCGAAGCGGUUAGUGGCGGACUGGUGAGUAACACGUAAGCAACCUGCCUAUUAGAGGGGAAUAACAGUGAGAAAUCACUGCUAAAACCGCAUAUGCCGUGAACAUCGCAUGAUGAAAACGGGAAAAGAGCAAUCUGCUAAUAGAUGGGCUUGCGUCUGAUUAGCUAGUUGGUGUGGUAAAGGCAUACCAAGGCAACGAUCAGUAGCCGGACUGAGAGGUUGAACGGCCACAUUGGGACUGAGAUACGGCCCAGACUCCUACGGGAGGCAGCAGUCGGGAAUAUUGCGCAAUGGAGGAAACUCUGACGCAGUGACGCCGCGUAUGGGAAGAAGG
rnacentral:rRNA from 1 species